UACGUAGGGGGCUAGCGUUGUCCGGAAUCAUUGGGCGUAAAGCGCGUGUAGGCGGCCCGGUAAGUCCGCUGUGAAAGUCGGGGGCUCAACCCUCGAAUGCCGGUGGAUACUGUCGGGCUCGAGUGCGGGAGAGGCGAGUGGAAUUCCUGGUGUAGCGGUGGAAUGCGCAGAUAUCAGGAGGAACACCAACGGCGAAGGCAGCUCGCUGGGACGGUACUGACGCUGAGACGCGAAAGCGUGGGGAGCGAACAGG
rnacentral:rRNA from 1 species